rnacentral:snRNA from 1 species
AUGAGUUUUGGAGUUUAAUAAAAAAAAAAAAAAAAAAUCUGUUCUUAUCAGUUUAAUAUCUGAUACGUCCCCCAUCCGGGGACUACAUAUUAAAUGGAUUUUUAGAUCACGGAGCUGGAGCCGGGGCUUGCUCCGUCCACUCCAUGCAUCGGCCUGGUAUUGCAGUGUCUCCAGGAACGGUGUGCUUUCC